UACGGAGGGUGCAAGCGCUAUCCGGAUUCACUGGGUUUAAAGGGUGCGUAGGCGGUCAGGUAAGUCCGUGGUGAAAUCUCUGAGCUUAACUCAGAAACUGCCAUGGAUACUAUUUGUCUUGAAUAUUGUGGAGGUAAGCGGAAUAUGUCAUGUAGCGGUGAAAUGCUUAGAUAUGACAUAGAACACCAAUUGCGAAGGCAGCUUACUACACAGUUAUUGACGCUGAGGCACGAAAGCCAGGGGAGCAAACGGG
rnacentral:rRNA from 1 species